GCCCUCGUGGCACCACAACGCGAUUCCGUGCGUGAGCCUGUUCUCACAGGUACUUCCGACCUUUCAAGCCGGCGGCACGGAUUCGAAUUCCGUUGGGGGCACCA
rnacentral:tRNA from 1 species